rnacentral:rRNA from 1 species
UACGGAAGGGGCAAGCGUUGUUCGGAAUUAUUGGGCGUAAAGGGCGCGUAGGUGGUUUGUCGCGUUGUUCGUGAAAACUCACAGCUCAACUGUGGGCGUGCGGGCGAUACGGGCAGACUAGAGUACUGCAGGGGAGACUGGAAUUCCUGGUGUAGCGGUGGAAUGCGCAGAUAUCAGGAGGAACACCGGUGGCGAAGGCGGGUCUCUGGGCAGUAACUGACGCUGAGGAGCGAAAGCGUGGGGAGCGAACAGG